AACGCCAUAAAGCUAUAGCGACGGCCGCGUAGUCGGCGUUUGGUACUAGACGUCACAAAAAGAAUUAGCAACGUUUUUAGUACCUAUAGCGGCGUUUUUAAAACGCCGCUAAAAGUCGAUUUUCCAUCAGUGAUAAUAGGGAUAUCUUGUGGAAUCACUUAUGCACACAUCAAUUUCUUUUCAUUUGAAGAUUCUAUUUUAUUUAUUAACCCUUUCAACUGAAGACCUUUCAUCACUUCUUGAAGGACAUCAUCGCAACCAUAUAUUGAUUGGUCAAAAAUUUGUGACUAGAUAUUCAAUUCUUCCAAAAUUUUGGUCAUUUUUUUCCUUUGGAACAAUUUCAUGUUCUUAAUUCUGUUUCUCAUUGUAUUUAUAUAACCUUGAAAUUACCCUUUUAAGAUCAGAACUCUGUACUUUAUACUUCCUAUUUCAAGUGUCAUCUCAUUCAUCAUGCAUUUUUUUAUAAGAUAGAUUUUGUAUUAAAAGGCACAAAUCAAAAGGGGGCGCAACCCUUUAUGCAUCAUGUGUACGAAACAUAAACUGUGGCUACCCUAUGUGUAUCUACAGGGACUUGGAUUUUUCUACAGUGUUUGCUUUAAUUGUAAGGUAGCUAAUUUGUUGUUAUUUUGUGCUGUCUCAUUUUUAUCUGCAUUUAAACAAAUGCUGCGGCAAGCUACAUAACAUGAAGAAGGGGAGUAAACAUGUAGAUGCAGCUCCACUUUGUGACAAAAUUGUUUUCAAUAAGGUAAAGCAUGGGCUAGGCGGAAAUGUACAGCUUAUUUUAUCUGGAGCAGCACCUCUUGCUACCCAUGUAGAAGCUUUUCUACGGGUGGUGGCAUGUUGUCAUGUUCUGCAAGGAUAUGGUAUGUUGUCCUUUUAAAUCUGUACAUAUCAAUUUAACUUAUUUUAUCUGCCUUUUUAGCAUGUACAUUUGAAUUUCACUCAUUCCUCCCUUUGGAAGUGGUUUUUGUUACUUAUCAGCCUAUUUGAGACAGCUUGCUGAUAUAUGUUUCUUUGUUGCUUAAACUCCACUUGGGAAUGAGUUCUAUUACACUUCGCUUUGAAGGCAUCUGAGAAAGUUUGAUGAAAUUUCUUUAAAUCCAUUACCUCAGUGCCAUAUUCCCCCUGUUUCUGCCCAUGAAUAGAGACUUCUACUGAUUCAGCACUGGUCUCACAGAAAGCUGUGUGGGAACAUUUC